rnacentral:rRNA from 1 species
AGAGUUUGAUCAUGGCUCAGGAUGAACGCUGGCGGCGUGCCUAACACAUGCAAGUCGAGCGAAGCACUUUACUUUGAUUCUUCGGAUGAAGAGUUUUGUGACUGAGCGGCGGACGGGUGAGUAACGCGUGGGUAACCUGCCUCAUACAGGGGGAUAACAGUUAGAAAUGACUGCUAAUACCGCAUAAGACCACAGCACCGCAUGGUGCAGGGGUAAAAACUCCGGUGGUAUGAGAUGGACCCGCGUCUGAUUAGCUAGUUGGUAAGGUAACGGCUUACCAAGGCAACGAUCAGUAGCCGACCUGAGAGGGUGACCGGCCACAUUGGGACUGAGACACGGCCCAAACUCCUACGGGAGGCAGCAGUGGGGAAUAUUGCACAAUGGGGGAAACCCUGAUGCAGCGACGCCGCGUGAGCGAAGAAGUAUUUCGGUAUGUAAAGCUCUAUCAGCAGGGAAGAAACUGACGGUACCUGACUAAGAAGCACCGGCUAAAUACGUGCCAGCAGCCGCGGUAAUUC